GCCCCGUCCCGCCCCGUCCCGGACCCAGCCGGACUUUCUGGACCGCUGCGGAAGGGAGGACCCCUAGCCUUCUGCCCAGGGCGACGUGGGGCUUCCAGCCGGCCUAGACACUGCUAGGUGUACCGGAAGUUCAAGAGCCUAGUAAAGUUUUUGCUAAAGGGAAGGCAGUCAUGGAGAUGCUGGGAUCUGAACCUGGUGGUGUUUCAGCCGUAGACACAUCAGAAUGUAGCAGUGAAACAGGAUCCUGCCUUCAAGCCCAUCUAGCUCUCCCAGGUCUCCCCAGAAAUGAGCAGACCCAGCAAUACAUCCACAUUUGAAAUUGCAGUCUGUGCUACUCUAGCAGGCAUACAGGGAGGACAUGGGGAAACAUGAAGAUUCUGCUAAACAAAGCUCCUGGAAUAUCCUAGGUUGAGGCUAAGGAUGCUGCCCACAAAAGCACAAUGCUCAGGGUGCCCUUCAAUGUCCAGAUUCAAAUGCCAGGAGAGCCCACAUUGAAAAUACAGUUUGAAGCAAUGUUAGGAAAGAUUAAACACUCUUAGCCACAUCCUGUCCCUGGGAACUUUCUGUAAUGUGUUUUAAGACAGUCUUAUUUUAUCCUGCAUCUGGUCACAUUAUCUAACACCUUUAACACGUGCACUUGCUGUGCUCUGCAGUAGAGACAGCCUUCCUCCUUUGGUCCUGGUGUUUUUCACAGAGAGGGGGAGGGACAGGCUGCCGCUCCUAGUUUAAAACAUGCCUUUCUGUGCUUUUUCUUUCAGCCUUAAGUGUUCUUUGUUUUGUUUUGGUUUUUGCCUAAUAGCUUCCAAAGCUUUGUGGCUCCAUUUAAGGCACCCAUCUCUGAAGUCCUCUUUAUUCCAAUUGAGCUUAGCUGCAAUUAGCACAGAGAAUCUGGGACUGAGAAAGGGGUGUGAUAUGUGGCCAUAUGUUACGGGGAGAAGGCAGCUGUGUGAGAACUAGCUCACUGUAAAGAGACUGAUGUUUCCUUAGCUACCACCCUGUACAUGAGCACUGUUUAUGUGAUAGCCUGUGUUUGAGGGCUGUACAGCUGCACUGCCAUCCAUGCAGAUGUUUCUGUAACUACCACCCCUGUACAUGAGCACUGUUUCUAUGAUAGUCUGUGUUUGAGGGCUAUAUAGCCUCACUGCCGUCCAUGCAGAUGUUUCCAUAACUACCACCCCUGUACAUGAGCACUGUUUCUAUGAUAGCUUGUGUUUGAGGGCUAUAUAGCCUCACUGCCAUCUGUGCAGAUGUUUCCCUGAAACUCUAACUCAUAGACUUUGAAAUGAAUUUUACCUCCAUGAUUUGAUAGAAAGUGGAUCAUAGCUUGUCAUGAGUAAAGCUAAGUAAAUUUAACUUUAUACUCUGCAAAUGUUUUCAUUUGAUUUGGAAACUUGUAAAAGUAUGCUUGAUAUUCUUUCAAAUAUUAUGUUUAAAUAUGGUAUGCAUUUGGUUAACAUUUUGAAAAAUAUUUCUUUAAACAAUUGUACUUAAACAUUAUUCCAUGGCAGAAUUUGGGCUUCAAAAGAUUAAAUUUAUUUUCUCAGAUGGAACAUUAAUAUAUCCAUGCUUCUAAACAUUGAUUUGCAAAGAGAUGAUUGUGCCAUAGAAGAUUAUAGUUUGAUUUUCUUCUCAAAGUAUUACUUGCUAUUCUCUCUCUCCCUCUCUCUCUGUGUGUGAGACUAUAUGUGUGUGUAUGUCUGUGUGUGUCUCUUUGUAUGAGUGUAUAAGAGUGUGUAUUUACAUAUGUGUGAGUGUCUGUGUUAUUUUUAAACAGAGAAUUGCUGUGCUUUAAAGUUGACACACUCACUACUUUUUCCCAAAUGAAUCAAUCAUAAGUUCUAAAAAAGAAAAAACAGUUCAAUGCAUGUUACAUGAAGGAGAAGGAGGGUGGUUAGUGGGGAAGAAAGGCGGCCAGUGGGUGUUGUGGUGAGGGUGGGGACAAGGGAAAAGAGUUCAUAAGAGAAUCAGCAAAAACACAGUAUGGAUGAAAUGUCACUAAUGCUAAGCUUAGUCCAAAAAACUAACAGCAAAUAUAAAAGAGCUCUAUGCAGAGGCCUGGGUGCCAAGGAGUGUUAUCUGUUUUAUCAGCAGCAUAAUGAUCUUAAUUAGCAUGUGUGUCAGCUUCCUGUUGCUGUGGAAAAUCCAUGAAAAACAAAGGAAAGUUUCAUUUUGGUUCAAAUUUCAGAAGUUUAGUUGCUUAGAUGCUUGGAUGGAGGGGAGAAGGAGAUCAUGGUAUAGAAAUGUGUGAAGAAAACAUCAUCCUGAGUGGGGUAACCCAAUCACCCAAAAACACACGUGGUAUGCACUCACUGAUAAGUGGAUAUUAGCCCAAAAGCUUGGAUUACCCAAGAUACAAUCCACAGACCACAUGAAGCUCAAGAAGGACAACCACAGUGUGGAUGCUGCAGUCGUUCUUAGAAGGGGGAACAAAA